CAGGGUGUUGUGAAGGUCCAAGAGUGGACUAGACAAGACCCCAGGCACGAAGAGCUCGAGGGGUUCUUACUGACGUUUGCCAGCUACAGUCCUAUGGAAGAAGAUGCAGCUCAAGAGUGAGUUUCAUAAUUCCCUGAUGAGAAAUAGAUCCAAAGGGAUUGUUGGGUCUUCAGUUCUCUGGCUGAGUUCAAGUUGUGGCUUUAAGGAUGAUUAUUUUUGGAAAGCCACAAGAUCUUGGUCCUCCAGGAUCCCAUGGAAGAAGUAAAUAAUUAACUACCUACUGCUUGCUGGGAAAAUGGCACAGAGCGCUAGCUUCAGGGUGUGUUGUGCCAGCACUAGAUGGUCUUCAAUGUUCUCUGUAGCCCACAAGUUCCAAAGUAUCAAUUGUGCCCUCAGGGAAAUAACAUUUCAAAACUGGAGGUAGGGGACACCUAGGUUAAGCCAAGGUGUUUCACUGGAAAACAACAGCAGCCACUCUGGCCUCACCUGCUUUGUAUGUCCCUGAACAUUCCCAACAUUCAUUUCAGACAAAUUCCAUUUUAUUUUUCUACCUGAGGCGUUCACCAGUUUGGCUGGUUUGGCUUUCCAGUUUCUGGGAACAGUGAGCCACCUUCCGACAGGGAAACUAAUAAGCAAAGUGUGGCAAGUGGCCAGCAAGGGACAUACUGGAGGCUGGAAAAAGCCCAGAAUGCAAAUUGUGAACUGUAAUCUAAAGGGAAUAUUGACCUUUUGAAAAAAGUCAAAUCAGAUACAAAAGGAGGAAUUUCUGCCUAUCAACACAGGCAAGACUACAUUAGGGAAGCCCAAAAUCCACCAGGGGAGUAUGCUCAGAAAACCCUAGGGCUUCAUUCAAAUUUGGAAAAGGUGAGCACUAUGUUAAUGACCCCCUAAAAA